UCCAUUGCUGUAAGUGGGGUGUUAAAGUCCCCCACUAUGAUUGUGUUAUUGUUGAUUUGUCCUUUUAAGGUUGUUAGCAGUUGCCUUAUAUAUUAUGGUGAACCUGUGUUGGGUGUGUAGAUAUUUAAAAUUGUUAUAUCUUCUGUAGUUCCCGUCAUGGUGCAGGAUUAAUGGAUCCAACUGGGAACCAUGAGGUAUCGAACCUGCAACCUCAUGGUUCCUAGUCAGAUUCGUUAACCACUGCACCACGAUGGAACUCCUUUCCUAGCGGCUUUCAAUAUUUUCUCAUUGCCUUUAAUUUUGGUCAAUUUGAGUAAUGUGUCUUGGGGUGUGCCUCCUUGGGUUUAUUUUAUAUAGUACUUGUUGGGCUUCCUGGAUUUGAGUGAGUAGUUCCUUUCCCAUGUUAGGGAAGUUUUUGGCUGUUAUCUCUUUGAAUAUUUUUUCUGUCCCUUUCUUUCUCUCUUGUCCUUCUGGCACCCAUAUAACAUGGAUGUUGGUGCGUUUAACAUGGUCCCAGAGUUCUCUGAGACUCUCUUCAUUGUUUUUCAAUCUUUUUUCUCUUUUCUGUUCUGCAUUGGUGAUUUCCACUAGUAUGUCCUCCACCUUGCUUAUUUGUUCUUCUGCCUCCUAUAUUCUGCUGUUGGCUGCUUCUGAUGAAUUUUUAUUUAAGUUACUGUAUUUUGCAUCUCUUCUUGUUUAAGUUUUAUAUCUUGUGUCUCUUUGCUCAGUGUUUCCUGUAAAUUAUUCGUCUUUGCCUCCAGUUUAUUUCAAAUGUCUUGCAUCAUCUUCAGCAUCAACAGUCUAAAGUCUUUUUCCUGGAGGCUGAGAAUCUCCUGAUCACUUAGCUGUUUUUCUGAGUUUUUUUCUUUUUCUCUCCUCUUAGUUAUAGUUCUCUGUCUUUUCAUUUUUAUAGGUUUUUGGCGUUGUGAACUUUCUGCAGACGAUAGAGUUGUAGCAUCUCUUACCUCUGGCAUCUGCCCCCCUUGUGGCUGAAGUUUGUAUGGGGGCUUGCUGUAGGCUUCCUGAUGGGAGGGAUUGAUGCCUGCCCAGUGUUAGGUGGAGCUGAUUCCUAUCCCUCUGGUGGGUGGGGCUUUGUCUCUGGGUGAGAUUAGAGGCGUCUGUGUGCCUGUGUGGUCUUUAGGCAGCCUGUUUACUGAUGGGCAGGGCUGUGAUACCACCUGGAUUGUUGUUUGGCUGGGGGCUUCUCAGCAAUAAUGGGUGGAGCCAGAUUUUCCCAAAAUGGCCACCUCCAGAGAAAGGCACAUUGAGGAAUAUUCCCGAGAGCUUUGCUUACAACGUCCUUCCCCCACAACAAGACCCAUUCACCCCUGUUUUUCCAGGAGGUCCUCCAAGAAUUGCAGUCAGGUCUGAUCCAGAUUCCUUUGGAAACUUUGCUUCCCCCUGGGACCCAGUGCACGUGAAAGUGUGUGUGCCUUUUAAGAAUGGGGUCCCCAUUUCCGCCACUGCUGUGGAGCUCUUGCACACAAGCCACACUGGCCUUCAAUGCCAGAUGCUCUGGGGGCUCUUUCUCCCAGUUGCAGAUCCCCACACAUGAGGGUUUGAUAUGGGGCUCAAAACUCUCACUCCUGUAGGUGAGUCUCUGUGAACCAGUUACUUUCCAGUCUGUGGGACUUCCCAUCCGGGAGGUAUGGGGUUGCUUAUAUCACAUAAUCACCCCUCUUACCUCUUGAUGUGGCCUCCUCCCUAUCUCCUGGAGUAGGAUAUCUUUUUUAAGGUUUCCGGUCCAUUUGAGUGAAGAUUGCGCAGCCUUUGGUUGUAAAUUUUGUUGUUUUUAGGAGAGAAGUUAAGCUUCAGUCCUUCUAUUCCACCAUCUUAAUCCCCCAGCCCAUAACAUCUAUUUGAUUGAAACGAUAUAGCUCUUCUGGCCUCUGCAGUUCCUUAACAACACUGACUCACGUUGUUGCAUCACCCAUCCCAUGGUCUGUGAACAUUAGAUUCCAGUGACCUUCAAAAGUUGGUACUGUGCUUUGUGGAUGAGGGCUUCUAGCCAGAGCAUGCAGAAAAAUGUGAGCAAGCCCUUAUUUCCAGAUCAUGUUAGAUUUACCUGGAACUGUCAUUCUUAAAGGAAUCAAUAUUCUAAGCAGUACAUAUAGGCAGACUUGCACAGUUGGACUGGGUCAGCAGCUCUUAUUUAAUGGUACCACCCAUUAAGCAGAGAUUGGCAGUGGGGCGUGAGUAGGUGCUUAACAGGGAUGGAAGGACUGGCCCUUCACAACCCAGGCUUGUUCUUCAUGAUUCCCUAAAAGAACCCUUUAAGCAUCUUUCAGACUUCUUUAAUGAGCUCUCUGCUUUGGUAGUGUUUCCUUCUGUGCUUGUUUGUAGAGGUCACUACACUUGCAUGGGAAUACCACCCAAGGAAUGUGUGCAGUGGUUGGAGAGCCAAGCAAGAGGGAGAUUCUGCCCCUUCUUCAGAGCAUUUCUGAAUUUAGAGGCCUGAAAGGAAGUCUUUUUGCCAAGUGUGGUUUGGAAUUCAAACUUAAUGCCAGAGCCACCACACCUUUUUUAGCGCAAUUACCGCUUAACCAAACAUUUCUGAGUUCUUUAAAAUGGGUCCCCUUCGUCACUUAAAUAUUUUAGUAUUUAAAAUAUUUAAAUACUAAAUAUUUCAGCUCUUCUCUGAACUU
rnacentral:lncRNA from 1 species